rnacentral:rRNA from 1 species
GACGAACGCUGGCGGCGUGCUUAACACAUGCAAGUCGAACGGAAAGGCCCUGCUUUUGUGGGGUGCUCGAGUGGCGAACGGGUGAGUAACACGCGAGUAUCCUGCCCUUGACUUUGGGAUAACUUCAGGAAACUGGGGCUCAUACCGGAUAGGAGCUCCUGCUGCAUGGUGGGGGUUGGAAAGUUUCGGCGGUUGGGGAUGGACUCGCGGCUUAUCCGCUUGUUGGUGGGGUAGUGGCUUACCAAGGCUUUGAAGGGUAGCCGGCCUGAGAGGGGGACCGGCCACCUUGGGACUGAGAGACGGCGCAGACGCCUACGGGCGGCAGCAGGGGGGAAUAUUGCGGAAUGGGCGGAAGCGUGAUGCAGCAACGCCGGGUGCGGGAUGACGGCCUUCGGGUUGAAAACCGAUUUCGCCUGUGACGAAGCGUGAGUGACGGUAAUGGGUAAAAAAGCACCGGCUAACUACGUG